rnacentral:lncRNA from 1 species
UUGGGAGCCAGCCUAGGGCGUAGCUCCCCGGGCCCGAGCGCCGCGGGCCGGGUCCCCCCACAACUUCUUCCGCCACCCUCAGUCCCGCCACCGCCUCAGCCCGGACGUCCGAAACGCGGCCGGGGCCGGGGCUAAUCCGACCGAAUAAGACCCCCGAAACUCACAGUUUGGUGCCGUGUGCGUCAAACCGGGGCGACGUUGGGAGCGCGCGGCGUCCCCGCGUCACACGCCGCUCUGUACGCUACUCGGCUCCAACGGCCCCCUCCGCUCCCCGCUUCUCGCCUCCGGCCUCGGUUCCCACGGCGCAGGCGCGCGGCUUUCCCGCCUCUGCCUGGCCGCCGGCCGCCGGGGGAAGCCAGCGAGGCGCGCCCGUGCUCUCGGGCCGCCGGAGCUCCCGUGCCAAUCAGACCCACGGGGGGCGGCAGCAACGCUGCACCGCUGCUCUCCCGUGCCAAAACCAAACAAGGUCACCUCCCCCAGCGGUGACCUAACCACUCCGGAGGAGGUUCCCGCCCCAAAGUAGGCACGCUCCAAAUAUGGUGGCGACCAAACUCUGCAAGACCCAAGUACCAGGAAUGCCUAGGCCCUUUAAGGUGGAAUAGGCCCAUCUCUGGUGUCUGCAAUCGCUAGUUUGCCAAAAACCUGUUCCCUUUUCCAGCUGUUGAAAGAACCAGCAACAUAUAUCAGGCCUACCUUGGAGAACUGGCACAGACAGGUUUUAUGAUGUUAAACAGGCCAGGUGGCAAAAGCAUCAGGUAUAGAAAUUCAGUUACCCAGACAAGACACCCAAAAAGAAGGCCCGGAUUUGGGUUCCUUGGACUCUGCAAGGGCAGAUUCUGCACUAAGGAACAUGCCUUGAUUGUCCAAAUUGGAGUCAUGCAAAGAGACGUCAGAAAUGCUGGUUAACUCUUCAGCCAACUGCUUGGAGGAGAUGCACUUUAGAGACUUAUUCUCAUCUCAUGAGUUUGGGUUUUGCUUGAAUGUAUGGCUGUGCACCGCAUGCUUCAUGCCUGGUACCACAGAGUCCAAAUGAGCCUCAGGAAGGACCUGAAACUGGAGCUGCAAAUGACAGGCCAUCAUGUGGAAAUAUCACAAGGGACCUGAUCCUGAGUCCCCAGCAAGCACAUAAGGUACUCUUGGCCAGUGAGCCAUGUCUCCUGACCCACCAGGUCUGUUAACCUGCAGAACUCAAAGGCCUAUCACCUGGAACCAAGCCUUGCAUACUUCAGGGCACAUUUCAGAUAUAUAAAAUAUAUCGAUGUAUGGGAUCUCCA